rnacentral:rRNA from 1 species
GUGUCAGCAGCCGCGGUAAGACGGAGGUGGCGAGCGUUAUCCGGAUUUACUGGGCGUAAAGCGUCCGCAGGCGGCCGGUCAGGUCGGCGGUGAAAGCUCCCGGCUCAACUGGGAGAGGUCCGUCGAAACCGGCCGGCUCGAGGGUCGGAGAGGGGGGUGGAAUUCCCGGUGUAGCGGUGAAAUGCGCAGAUAUCGGGAGGAACACCGGUGGCGAAGGCGGCCCCCUGGCCGACACCUGACGCGCAGGGACGAAAGCGUGGGGAGCGAUCGGGAUUAGAUACCCCGGUAGUCCACGCCGUAAACGAUGGGUGCUCGGUGUUGGCCGCUGACAAGCGGUCAGUGCCACAGCUAACGCGGUAAGCACCCCGCCUGGGGACUACGGCCGCAAGGCUAAAACUCAAAGGAAUUGACGGGG